UUCCCUGUGGCUCAGUUGGUAGAGCAUGGUGUUUGCAACGCCAGGAUUGUGGGUUCGAUUCCCACGGGGGACC
rnacentral:tRNA from 1 species